rnacentral:lncRNA from 10 species
GGUGUUUGUAGGUUGGAUUGUUUGGUUACAAACCGGCUGUGAUGAGGCGCGGGUCCCGGCCCCCAGAUUGUGAUGUCUCAGGGGGCGGUGGGCCGGGUGACGCAACUGGGGGUGGGCCCGUGGGUCCCAGUACCUGGUCCAGGAGGCAGCGUCUCCCUCCCGUCCGGGAUAAGACACCCCCUCCGCGGGUCCCCUGUCCACUCUGGAGAGGCAGCCCCCACUUGGAGGGACCAGGACCCGAGCCCUGCCCAUCCCCGAAUCCUGGGAGCCCUGCGUGGGGAGUGUCGAGGGCCUGGGUCGGGGGGCAAACUAGUGUGGAGCAAUGAAUCCCGGAAACCCGGCUGCUCACUAAUUACCCAGUAACUAUGGAGGUCCCCCGAAGGACAGACCUGUGCCCUUGAGGCAGGGCCCUGAAGGAGGCCAACUUUAAUGGAGGACCUAGCAAGUGCCAGGCAGCAUUCUGAGCCCUGGAAUCCGGUGAUGAACAUGACAGACAAGAUUCCUGCCCCCAAGGAGCUGCACCUUAAUAAGUCCCGCAAUGAAGGAGACAGAACAUAAACAGAGGAAAAUACACAAGAUGCCAGCUUGUGAGAAGUGCUAGCAAAAAAAGACACAAGUAUGUCCAGAGAGUCUGAGGUGUAUACAGCUCAUUUCACCAAUGAAAAGGCACUGGCAACAUCUCCUAUGCAGAUUAGCCGCAGCCUCCGGUGCCGAUUUAGCAAAGCCAUGAUUGACCAGAUCCGAGGCUCGCUGCCCUGUGGAGCUGCUUCCUAAUUAUGUUACUUCAAGCACCCAUCCCCAGGGUGCAGGUUAAAGUUAACCAGCACACUAAUGUACAUCAAGCAGUGUAGGCGGAGGCGCAGUUCUGAAGACAGUCACCAAUACGCGGCAAAUACCUAUUGUGAG